UUGCCAAUACCUACGACCCGAUACUUCGGGAAUGAGGCCAUAGGGAUAUACUCUCAGCGGAGGCGAGAGUAGAACGUUCCGGCGCUGUAGGAUGUGGCUGCGGCCGAUUAGGUAGAUGGUGGGGUAACGGCCCACCAUGCCGAUAAUCGGUACAGGUUGUGAGAGCAAGAGCCUGGAGACGGUAUCUGAGACAAGAUACCGGGCCCUACGGGGCGCAGCAGGCGCGAAACCUUUACACUGCACGACAGUGCGAUAGGGGGACUCCGAGUGUGAGGGCAUAUAGCCCUCGCUUUUCUGUACCGUAAGGUGGUACAGGAACAAGGACUGGGCAAGACCGGUGCCAGCCGCCGCGGUAAUACCGGCAGUCCAAGUGAUGGCCGAUAUUAUUGGGCCUAAAGCGUCCGUAGCU
rnacentral:rRNA from 1 species